CAGAUGGCCACAUAGCGGUCAUAGGCCAUCACCAACAGAAUAAAUACCCCUGAUCCAGCAGAAAAAUGUGCUGUAAAGAGCUGAGCCAUACAAAAUUAGAAGGACAUUCUAUUUGUCCCAAAGAACAAGUCUGAAAUCAAUCUUGGGGUAAUGGAAGAGGAAUAAGUGACAUCCAUAAUUGAUGGGUUAGCAAGAAAAAAGUACAUUGGGGAGUCUAGUGUCCUACUGAAAGUUACAGUCACAACAAUGAGCAUGUUUCCCACCAUGGUCAAAAUGUAGACAAACAAGAAAAUAGCAAAAAGGACCUGUUGCUCUUUUGGAUCCUGUGUGAGGCCCAAGAGGACAAAUCACCUGACCCAAGAGGAACUUAUCCGUAGGCAAGACUGGACCAAUCAGGUUUUUUCUUUCAAGAAACUCAGCAAAUGACUCAAAUUCUGUAGCAGAUGGCCAUGGAUCAUGUUAAAUGAUGGAGUCAUGCAGUACAGGUACACCUACAGGAGAAAGCAGAUGGAAGCCAUGGAUACACAUAUAUGCAUGGGAACAAAAAACAAAAAACUACAACAGCAAUACGAGAUCUACACAUGGAGAGAGAUUUCCUCUGCCCCUCAGUGCUAUGACUUCUCAGAGAUCAUCAACAAGAUGAUACUGCAGGAGACAAGAAACAAGGAGAAGAUUAUGAUGCAAGUAAACCCACUGACGGCAAUGACCAAAAGGCCAAAGACACAAGUGUCAGUGCAGACAAGCUCCAGUAAUGGGUACGAGUCACAAAUGAAAUGAUCAGUGACAUUGAGGCCACAGAAGGGCACCUGGAAAGUAAAGAGAAUUUCAAUCAUGGAAUGCAAGAAGCCCCUUGUCCUGCCUGCCCCCAUUGGAAUGCUACAGAGUUUCCAGCUUAUGAUAGAAGCCUAGUACAGGGGUUUGCAGAUGGCCUCAUAGCAGUCAUAGGCCAUGACAGUAAGGACAAUCACCUCCACCCUAGCAAAGAAAUAUUCACCAAAGAGCUGGCCAUGCAGGCUUCAAAGGAUAUAGUUUUCUUCUCAGAGAGAGAGACCAUAAUCAUGUUUACGGCAAUGACAGACGAGUAGCACACAUCCAUGAUGGACAAAAAAGACAAGAAGACAUACAUGGGUGAGCCCAGGAGUGUUGGGCUUCUGCUGAUGGUCACCAAAAUUAACAAGUGGUGCCCAACAGUUGCAGUGCAGCCAAACAAAAAUACAAAAAGUACUAUUUUCUGAACAUAUGGAUUCUGGAAAAGCACAGGAGAACAAGCUGUUACAGAGCUUUGGUUUUGCAUGGCUUUUCAAGGAAAAUAUAAAAGCCACCAGAGUGAGCACAUAGAAUCUUUAAUUAUGAGAAAUAAAAAUGUGUAUCAGACAACUUAUGGUAUUAUC
rnacentral:lncRNA from 1 species